GUGCUCACUUUUGUGGCACAUACACUAAAAUAUGUACAAUACAGAGAAGAUUAGCAUGUUCCCUGUGUAAGGAAAUUGGCAAAUUGGUGAAGCAUCCCAUAGUUUU
ensembl:snRNA U6 U6 spliceosomal RNA